rnacentral:lncRNA from 1 species
GAUCCUCCUCUUCAGCUGCAUCUUGGAUAAGUGCUUCACACAGAAACCAAACAUGACUCAGCUCUCUUCGAAAUCCGGGGCACAGUAGCUCCUCCGGCUACCUCCAUAAAAGGUGGCCUUACCAAAACCUCUGGAAUACUUGAGCCUGUGGCCAUCAGUGGCUAUCGGAAGAAUUUUGAACGAUAUUCCCUACUUUUUUAAAAUGCAUGCCCUUGGGUCUCAUCUGCCAUCUCAAGCAAUUUAUCUGAGUAUUCCC